rnacentral:rRNA from 1 species
UUGGUUAAGUUAGAAAGGGCGCACGGUGGAUGCCUUGGCACUAGGAGCCGAAGAAGGACGGGACUAACACCGAUAUGCUUUGGGGAGCUGUACGUAAGCGUUGAUCCAGAGAUUUCCGAAUGGGGGAACCCACUAUCUUUAGUCGGAUAGUAUCCUUACGUGAAUACAUAGCGUGAGGAAGGCAGACCCAGGGAACUGAAACAUCUAAGUACCUGGAGGAAGAGAAAGAAAAAUCGAUUUCCUGAGUAGCGGCGAGCGAAACGGAAAGAGCCCAAACCAAGAAGCUUGCUUCUUGGGGUUGUAGGACACUCUAUACGGAGUUACAAAAGAAAGUUAUAAAUGAAGCGGUCUGGAAAGGCCCGCCAAAGACGGUAACAGCCCGGUAGUUGAAAUGGCUUUCCCUCCAGAGUGGAUCCUGAGUACGGCGGAACACGUGAAAUUCCGUCGGAAUCCGGGAGGACCAUCUCCCAAGGCUAAAUACUCCCUAGUGACCGAUAGUGAACCAGUACCGUGAGGGAAAGGUGAAAAGCACCCCGGAAGGGGAGUGAAACAGUUCCUGAAACCGUGUGCCUACAAGUAGUUAGAGCCCGUUAAUGGGUGAUAGCGUGCCUUUUGUAGAAUGAACCGGCGAGUUACGAUUUGUUGCAAGGUUAAGCGGAAAAAGCGGAGCCGUAGCGAAAGCGAGUCUGAAUAGGGCGCAUAAGUAACAGGUCGUAGACCCGAAACCAGGUGAUCUACCCAUGUCCAGGAUGAAGGUAAGGUAAUACUUACUGGAGGUCCGAACCCACGCACGUUGAAAAGUGCGGGGAUGAGGUGUGGGUAGCGGAGAA